CAGCGACUUCAGCGGCUAAGGCGGCGGCGGCGGCUUCAACGGCGUCGCCGCCAUCGCUCUCAUCACUCUCACUGCCAUUAUCACUAUCACUGUCACCCUCACUGCCACUAUCACCGACACUCUCGGGGUCGAUGACUUCUCCGGAGUCGACUGCGCCGUCAUCCUCAUCCAUUUUCAGCGCCGCGUUGACAGUACAAAAAGGUUAUCGUCAUUCAUGAUGAAACAGUAACAACAAUAAUGGAGCAAGGAGAAUUCAGAUAUCCGAAAAAGAAAGAAAGAGUGAGGCACUGAAGUAAAGAAACCCUAAUUUCUAAAAGAUAUAUACCGGGGCGGUAUACCCUAAACCCGAUCCUGCUCUGCUCCGAUCAAAACCCGCUCUUCAUCGGGUCAAGUUAUUAUUUGCGGGUUCGGGUACUGCCAUCCUUGCCCGUUGGGGAUUAUUGGAUUAUUCCAAACUACGCUGAAAAAGGCGCACACCAAAAAUUCCACGCUUUUUCCCAUUUUCGAGUACGCCUUUUUGAGUUUUUUUUCCUCCGACCUCUUCCUCCUCCCUUCACAUUUUAGGGUUUGUGAAUAUUGCAGAGGUUAAGAGAAGAAGAUGAGGCCUGUUUUUGCUGGGAAUUUGGAGUAUGAUACACGACAAUCGGAGCUGGAGCGAUUGUUCUCAAAGUAUGGAAGAAUUGACCGCGUUGACAUGAAAUCUGGCCACUGAAACCUAAGAUAUUGCGACGGCUAUAUUUUGGAUGUGGCGCGGACAUAUGGGUAGUUUUUGUGGCUUGAAUUGCCUAGUUCGGAUAACCGGUUGGAAAAUAUAUGAAAAAUCACCAAAAUUGUGCAAUGUCUUCAGGGAAAUCCUCUGGAUUUUUAAGUGUUUGUUUUGACGCUGGAGCUUUCUCUAAGGAAAAAUACGUUGAGGUUCUAUCUUUUGGCUCGCCAACCUCUGCAAUUUUCCUUUUUGGAAGCGAACCUUCUUGCUUGCUUGCUCUCUGCAUUUUCAUACCAGAUUAUUCAACACUCACUUACCUCAUCACCCAACAUUUGACAUCCAUCAGAAUGUUCAUAGGGGAACCAUCAAUCAAUCAAUGAAUUUAUUAAGCCAUGCCUAGCUUCAAUGCAUAUAGGGGAUCAAUGUACUAUUUCUGAAUUCACUUGUGCUGUCUGAAUGGAGAAGCAUGCUUGGCAGUCACAAUAUCAGAUCUGAAUUUUGGAUUUAAACCUUCUAAUUGCAAUCAUGAUUUUGUCCA